GACUAACGCUGGCGGCGUGCCUAACACAUGCAAGUCGAACGGGCUGUAGCAAUACAGUCAGUGGCAGACGGGUGAGUAACACGUAGAUAAUCUACCCCUCCGCUGGGGAUAGCCACUGGAAACGGUGGGUAAAACCGAAUAUUCUCUGUUGAAGGCAUCUUCGAUAGAGGAAAACUCCGGUGUGGAGGGAUGGGUUUGCGACCUAUCAGCUAGUUGGUACGGUAAUGGCGUACCAAGGCGACGACGGGUAACCGGUCUGAGAGGACGGUC
rnacentral:rRNA from 1 species